rnacentral:rRNA from 2 species
CCCCAAACCGACACAGGUGGUCGGGUAGAGAAUACCAAGGCGCUUGAGAGAACUCGGGUGAAGGAACUAGGCAAAAUGGCACCGUAACUUCGGGAGAAGGUGCGCCGGCUAGGGUGAAGGAUUUACUCCGUAAGCUCUGGCUGGUCGAAGAUACCAGGCCGCUGCGACUGUUUAUUAAAAACACAGCACUCUGCAAACACGAAAGUGGACGUAUAGGGUGUGACGCCUGCCCGGUGCCGGAAGGUUAAUUGAUGGGGUUAGCGCAAGCGAAGCUCUUGAUCGAAGCCCCGGUAAACGGCGGCCGUAACUAUAACGGUCCUAAGGUAGCGAAAUUCCUUGUCGGGUAAGUUCCGACCUGCACGAAUGGCGUAACGAUGGCGGCGCUGUCUCCACCCGAGACUCAGUGAAAUUGAAAUCGCUGUGAAGAUGCAGUGUAUCCGCGGCUAGACGGAAAGACCCCGUGAACCUUUACUGUAGCUUUGCACUGGACUUUGAGCCUGCUUGUGUAGGAUAGGUGGGAGGCUUUGAAGCGUGGACGCCAGUUCGCGUGGAGCCAUCCUUGAAAUACCACCCUGGCAUGCUUGAGGUUCUAACUCUGGUCCGUGAUCCGGAUCGAGGACAGUGUAUGGUGGGCAGUUUGACUGGGGCGGUCUCCUCCUAAAGAGUAACGGAGGAGUACGAAGGUGCGCUCAGACCGGUCGGAAAUCGGUCGCAGAGUAUAAAGGCAAAAGCGCGCUUGACUGCGAGACAGACACGUCGAGCAGGUACGAAAGUAGGUCUUAGUGAUCCGGUGGUUCUGUAUGGAAGGGCCAUCGCUCAACGGAUAAAAGGUACUCCGGGGAUAACAGGCUGAUACCGCCCAAGAGUUCAUAUCGACGGCGGUGUUUGGCACCUCGAUGUCGGCUCAUCACAUCCUGGGGCUGAAGCCGGUCCCAAGGGUAUGGCUGUUCGCCAUUUAAAGUGGUACGCGAGCUGGGUUUAGAACGUCGUGAGACAGUUCGGUCCCUAUCUGCCGUGGACGUUUGAGAUUUGAGAGGGGCUGCUCCUAGUACGAGAGGACCGGAGUGGACGAACCUCUGGUGUUCCGGUUGUCACGCCAGUGGCAUUGCCGGGUAGCUAUGUUCGGAAAAGAUAACCGCUGAAAGCAUCUAAGCGGGAAACUUGCCUCAAGAUGAGAUCUCACUGGGAACUUGAUUCCCCUGAAGGGCCGUCGAAGACUACGACGUUGAUAGGCUGGGUGUGUAAGCGUUGUGAGGCGUUGAGCUAACCAGUACUAAUUGCCCGUGAGGCUUGACCAU